GGGGCGCCGCGGGAGAGGGUACCCGUCGCCAUUUUGCCCCCUCGAAGGCCGGCGGGGUCGUGGCGAUGCGCGGUCCCACCGAGUUACAGACCUCGUUGUACCCCCACGCGGCUCGACCCGGGGAGGGGCGCAACGCUGGCUUCGCCCCCUCCCACCAUCCUCUUACCACGGCUGCCACAACCACCACGCUUGGUGUGCUUACUGCACUGCCUGCAGCUCCUGGACAAAGUUUCUCCCUCAGCACACUCCCAUCCCAGUCUCGUAAGCAGCUACAGCACUGGCACCUUCAGGGCUGGCGUUCCUCCUCCUCCCACUUUGAUGCCGCUCUGCACAACUCUGCACUUAGGCAGGCAGUGGGGCCUGCAGCGUUCAGUUGUGGAAGGAAUCCCCAAAGAGAGAAAAGGUGUCGGGCCGGGCUGUGCAGUGCUGCUGGGACCUUCUGCCUCCGUGUGGCUGCAGCUCAUCUCAUGUAGGGACUGCAAAGUCCUGUGGAGACGAACACAGGCCAGAGUGCACCGCUCAGAUUUGUGACAGCUAGAAGGAUCUGGAGGAAGACUUAUCUUGUGUAAUAGGCCUUGUGCUUUGCUCCCGCCUCGAUGGAAAAUCAUUACACAGUAAUGGAUGAGCCGGUUCGGAAGGAGCGCCGCUGGGGUGCCGCUCGCCUUCUUUCGGAGAUGCGGCAUAUGAGAGGAAGUAGCGGGAGGCCUGCCAACUUUCCCAAUUUAAUUAUUAAGCUGUCGGUUCCUGACUUCUUGUUUUCCACUUCCCGAGGCAACAUCUGGCUGUAAUAACAAAAAUAAAUAAUUAACAUAAAAUUUGAUCAUUCGCUCGGCGGCGUUCUGUUUCCAGUGGCCUUUUUGCUGCAGCCUUGCAAAGAACUCAAUACGGGGGAUCUGGACCUGGCAUCUCUCUGAACUACUCCUAAGCGGAGAUGAGAAUGGAGUCAGUUGUGAUCCGCGAGGCAGAGCUGUGCAGAAGGGUCUGUUGUACUCAAGCCUUUUUCAG
rnacentral:lncRNA from 1 species